CUCAGUUCUGGUUUGCAGAAGUAACACAAGCUCAUGGUGAAAACUCAAAUAACUUACUAUUGACAGACAGAUCAAAGGUCAAUAAAGAUACUCUCACCCCAGUUCUUUACCCCAGUCUCCAGAGGAGCUCCCCUCCAUGACUUCCUGGUUUCCUUCUAACUAUCCAAUGUGCAUGAAAGCACAGACAUUAAUUUUCGUUUUACUUGAAACAAACUCCCACUAUACAAGUGCUUUUUUAUUUCUCUCCACAAAACAUGUCCCAGAGACAGCCAGUGAGAGACCUUUGACAUCCUGGGAAGAAUGGCUGCACGGUUGCUCCACAGAGUACAGGACCAGCCUACUGACAAGAAACCAUCCCACAGAGCAGCACCCUUCAUUCGGCAGACACUGGGGCCUGUGCCACUCCACCCUGUCAGGGUCUGAGUCUGUGUGCUGAGUCUGUGUUUUGGCCUGCUGUUACCAAUCCUGCUGGGUCUCAUUGCACUUUGUGAAUCUGAGAUUUGUGUCUUAUGGCACAGCAAGCCUCCUGCACGCGAGGGCACCAAGCCUCACUUUGGCACCUGCUGGGGACACCUUAGACAGAGAGGCUGCUAAAACAAAGCACAGAAGUGUGAAUGCACAGACUGAGUGGCUUGCAGAAAGGACACGUUUGCUGGCACGGGAGCAAGCGCCACUCCGCCGGACAUCGGCUGGCACCGACUCCAGUUUCCACCACUCGGCACGGGGCAAGAGUGAUGGUAAACACGCGACAAGCCUGUUCACAGAUGUUCGUGAACAGGAAACGGGAAACCGCAGGUAAUAGAGAUCAGCUACAGGUGGUUGUGUAUUUGCUUGUUUGGUUUUGAGGCAGGAGCUCACCUGUCCCAGACCAGCCUGCAACCGAUUAGGUAGCUAGCUGAAGCUGGCCCGAACUUUUGACCCUCCUGUUUCCAACCUCUUGAGUACUGGGGUUAUGGCAUGUGUCAUUAGCCCAACUUAGCCAAGGGUAGCACAGGCUAGCCUUGAACCUGGGAGCCUCCCGCCUCAUCUUCCCAAAUGCUGGAGACAGGUGUGGGUCAUACUGGGUGCUGGGGUCUCUUCCUCUUGACAGAUUAGCUAUAGGUUUUGGAGUUGUUCUUUCCUGGUCACUAAUUCACAUAUAAGCAGAGGAGUUUUAGGUUAUCCAUUCCAGCCUACUGCCAAGGAAAAAAGUCUUUGGUGGGUUAUAGUGAUACGAGGAAUAAAUAUGAUGGUAAUCUCCGGUCAGGUUGUCUUGGCUCACUGUGCAUGUUUCUGUUCUUUCUUUUCUUUUCUUUUCUUUUCUUUUCUUUUCUUUUCUUUUCUUUUCUUUUUCAACACAGGGUUUCUUGGUGUAGCCCUGGUUGUCCCAGAACUCACUCUGUAGACCAGGCUGGCCUUGAACUCACGGAGAUCCUCCUGCUGGUCAUGUUUCUUAAUGGGCAGUGUGGGACAACAUCCUGCAAGUCCAGUUAUGAAGUAAUUGCAGAUGUCGGUUUCUCCGCACCCCAUCUCCUCCCUCGGGCGUGCGUGGAUGUGUGUGUGCCGAGUAUGUAUAUGUGUUCGGCCGUGCAGACACACUCGGAGGCCAGAGACUGGCAUCAGGACAACGUUCCGAUGUGUUCCUCACCAUCCAGGAAGUCUGACUUAGGGUCCCCGAGGCAGACCAGGGUAACAGCCAGCCGCCUCCUACUCCCCUAGCUAGCCCGGCUCUGGGACCUUCCAGAGUGGCUUCCAAGGGUGGCUCUGAUCUCAGCACUGUGCAGUGCACAGACUUUGAUCCACUCUUCACAUGCAGCUUCACUCCGGAGGCCAGCAGCCCCGUAGCUUCAGGAGGUGGGGGCAGAGAGGGGGAUGGGGGCAUGCCCAUGUCUUCAAAGUCAGAGAUUCUGCUCCAAAUAGAAAGCCACGCUUUCGCUCAGAGAAUGCCACCGCAGGUGCUUCAGGCCCUGGCACAGGCACAGCUGGCACCCUGGUCUCCGGCCCCAUAUUCGCCUGGCUAUUCUCUGGGUGUGGAGGGGUUUCCCAGCCCCUGUUCCUGUGACCCAGCCCCUCACGGUGCAAGCCUUCUGCCGUACCCAUUGGUCUCCCUUGCUGAUUGUGUCUCUGGAGAAUUUUGGUAAAUGUGGUCACUCAGUCCUAUUGCACCAGGAUUCCCUUCUCUCUUCUGUCAGAGCAAGUUCUGGUCAGCAGUAGAAGCUCAUCUCUGCUUGAUGACCGAGCCACAAACGACAUGUUCUUUGUCUGCCCCAGUUAAUUCCGCCUCCCCCUUCCUUUCUCCAAGAGCUUGUUCCCAGCACGAAGUAAUUAUUAGACUUUUCAAAACUAGUAAUUAUUCUAAUAAAUAUACUUUAUUCUCA